rnacentral:rRNA from 1 species
AGCAUUAUACCGUGAAACUGCGAAUGGCUCAUUAAAUCAGUUAUCGUUUAUUUGAUAGUACCUUACUACAUGGAUAACCGUGGUAAUUCUAGAGCUAAUACAUGCUAAAAAUCCCAACUUCGGAAGGGAUGUAUUUAUUAGAUAAAAAACCAAUGCCCUCCGGGGCUCCUUGGUGAUUCAUAAUAACUUCUCAGAUCGCAUGGCCUUGCGCCGGCGACGGUUCAUUCAAAUUUCUGCCCUAUCAACUUUCGAUGGUAAGGUAUUGGCUUACCAUGGUUUCAACGGGUAACGGGGAAUUAGGGUUCGAUUCCGGAGAGGGAGCCUGAGAAACGGCUACCACAUCCAAGGAAGGCAGCAGGCGCGCAAAUUACCCAAUCCCGAUACGGGGAGGUAGUGACAAUAAAUACUGAUACAGGGCUCUUUAGGGUCUUGUAAUUGGAAUGAGUACAAUUUAAACCUCUUAACGAGGAACAAUUGGAGGGCAAGUCUGGUGCCAGCAGCCGCGGUAAUUCCAGCUCCAAUAGCGUAUAUUAAAGUUGUUGCAGUUAAAAAGCUCGUAGUUGAACCUUUGGCCUGGCUGGCGGGUCCGCCUCACCGCGUGCACUCGUCCGGCCGGGCCUUUUCUUCUAGAGAACCGCAUGCCCUUCACUGGGUGUGUUGGGGACUAGGACUUUUACUUUGAAAAAAUUAGAGUGUUCAAAGCAGGCCUUUGCUCGAAUACGUUAGCAUGGAAUAAUAGAAUAGGACGUGCGGUCCUAUUUUGUUGGUUUCUAGGACCGCCGUAAUGAUUAAUAGGGACAGUCGGGGGCAUCAGUAUUCAAUUGUCAGAGGUGAAAUUCUUGGAUUUAUUGAAGACUAACUACUGCGAAAGCAUUUGCCAAGGAUGUUUUCAUUAAUCAGUGAACGAAAGUUAGGGGAUCGAAGACGAUCAGAUACCGUCGUAGUCUUAACCAUAAACUAUGCCGACUAGGGAUCGGGCGGUGUUACUAUUUUGACCCGCUCGGCACCUUACGAGAAAUCAAAGU